AUUGAACGCUGGCGGCAGGCCUAACACAUGCAAGUCGAGCGGAGCGGCGGAAGGGUGAGUAAUGCCUAGGAAUCUGCCUGGUAGUGGGGGAUAACGUCCGGAAACGGGCGCUAAUACCGCAUACUAUCAGAUGAGCCUAGGUCGGAUUAGCUAGUUGGUGGGGUAAAGGCCUACCAAGGCGACGAUCCGUAACUGGUCUGAGAGGAUGAUCAGUCAAACUGGGACGGAGACACGACCCAGACACCUACGGGAGGCAGCAGUGGGGAAUAUUGGACAAUGGGCGAAAGCCUGAUCCAGCCAUGCCGCUGGUGUGAAGAAGGUUUUCGGAUUGUAAAGCUCUUUAAUUGGGGAGGCGUUACCAACAGAAGAGGCACCGGCUAACUACGUGCCAGCAGCCGCGGUAAUAC
rnacentral:rRNA from 1 species